rnacentral:misc_RNA from 1 species
UAAAAACGAACCGCACAGGACUUUAGAGGAGCAAGUUCUUUUUCGUUCCAUCAGCCUACUUGAGAUCUAUUCCCACUGCUAAAAGUCAAUUUUUUUGAUUUUCGCGAGCAAUGGUGUUCUACCGUAGCGUUUCGUUGCUGUCAAAGCUCCGCUCUCGAGCGGUCCAACAGUCAAAUGUUAGCAAUUCUGUGCGCUGGCUUCAAGUCCAAACCUCUUCUGGUCUUGAUCUGCGUUCUGAGCUGCAAGAAUUGAUUCCUGAACAACAGGAUCGCCUGAAAAAGAUCAAGUCAGAAUAUGGAAAGGUUCAAUUGGGGAACAUCACAGUUGAUAUGGUUCUUGGUGGAAUGAGAGGAAUGACAGGAUUACUGUGGGAAACCUCAUUACUUGACCCUGAUGAGGGAAUUCGCUUCCGGGGGUUGUCUAUUCCUGAAUGCCAAAAGGUAUUACCUGCAGCAAAGCCUGGGGGUGAGCCCUUGCCUGAAGGUCUUCUCUGGCUUCUCUUAACAGGAAAGGUGCCAUCAAAAGAGCAAGUGAAUUCAUUGUCUCAGGAAUUGCGGAGUCGGGCUACUAUCCCUGAUCAUGUAUACAAAACUAUUGAUGCCUUACCAGUCACAGCUCAUCCAAUGACCCAGUUUGCUACUGGAGUCAUGGCUCUUCAGGUUCAAAGUGAA